rnacentral:rRNA from 1 species
AACGGAUAUCUUGGCUCUUGCAACGAUGAAGAACGCAGCGAAAUGCGAUACUUAAUGUGAAUUGCAGAAUUCCGCGAAUCAUCGAGUCUUUGAACGCAAGUUGCGCCCGAGGCUUGUCCGAGGGCAUUUCCGCUAGAGCGUCACC